rnacentral:lncRNA from 1 species
CUGUUAAAUAAAGUGUUGAUCUUAAAAUAAAAAAGUUACCAUAAGGAAUUUAUUUUCAGAUGCCAAGUACGUGGUGUCUGGUGGCCGAUGCAGAAUGAGCUGGAACUGAUCUGAGACCAUCUAGUGGAUAAAGCUGGUCUCACAAAAACACUUUCAUGGAAUAACCCACACACAAGACAGGAGACUCCACAAACUGAAAUGUCUACAGAGCCUGAACCAGACUGAGUUCC